CACUAUGCCUAGCCGUAAACAUAGACAGUUCAUACACCCCACUGUCCGCCCGGGAACUACGAGCGUUAGCUUAAAACCCAAAGGACUUGGCGGUGCUUUAUACCCACCUAGAGGAGCCUGUUCUAGAACCGAUAAUCCCCGUUCAACCUCACCCUUCCUUGUUCUUUCCGCCUAUAUACCGCCGUCGUCAGUUUACCCUGUGAAGGCCUAAUAGUAAGCAAAAUCGGCACAGCCCAAAACGUCAGGUCGAGGUGUAGCGUAUGGAAGGGGAAGAAAUGGGCUACAUUCCCUGUUAUAGGGCAUACGAAUGAUUUUGCUGAAAUGCAUAUCUGAAGGAGGAUUUAGCAGUAAGCAGAAAGUAGAGAGUUCUGCUGAAGCCGGCUCUGAAGCGCGCACACACCGCCCGUCACUCUCCCCAGGCUAAAAUACUUAAAUAACUAAAGCACCACAACUGCAAAGGGGAGGCAAGUCGUAA
rnacentral:rRNA from 1 species